rnacentral:lncRNA from 1 species
CACCUGGAACUUCACGAGAGAGAGCUUGCCAGCACUUGCAAAAUGUACUGCAUUGCUCCUGGUGUUAUUUUAAAAAGCCAUUCCAUGUCACUUAUUUUAAUCCAUCUCUUUUGAAACUAUUAUCUCAAUCUCUGGAUUUUCCCCUUAGCUGAGUUCAACAGAAGCAGCAGAUAGCCAGGGUUCUCAGUCCCAGGUCCCAGGUCAACUGAUCCAGGGGCCAAGUCAGACUCACCACUCAGCUUAUGCUGGCCUAAUAGGCCAGCCUACGUGAGGGCAGUCAGAAAAGGGUCCACUUGAGACAAAAUGCCAGCCUUACUAUAGGUUCCAAAUAAAUCCCCAGAAGAGAGGGAACUUAUCUUUGGCAUUUAAAUAUAAAAUUCCUAAAGUCUUUAUAAGAGUUAAAAACAAAAACUGAUUUU